CAGCAGCCGCGGUAAUACGAAGGGUGCAAGCGUUACUCGGAAUUACUGGGCGUAAAGCGUGCGUAGGUGGUGGUUUAAGUCCGUUGUGAAAGCCCUGGGCUCAACCUGGGAAUUGCAGUGGAUACUGGGUCACUAGAGUGUGGUAGAGGAUAGUGGAAUUUCCGGUGUAGCAGUGAAAUGCGUAGAGAUCGGAAGGAACAUCUGUGGCGAAGGCGACUAUCUGGGCCAACACUGACACUGAGGCACGAAAGCGUGGGGAGCUAACAGGAUUAGAUACCCGCGUAGUCCCUGUCUCUUAUAC
rnacentral:rRNA from 1 species